rnacentral:rRNA from 1 species
CCUACGGGAGUCAGCAGUGGGGAAUUUUCCGCAAUGGGCGAAAGCCUGACGGAGCAACGCCGCGUGAGGGAUGAAGGCCUCUGGGCUGUAAACCUCUUUUAUCAAGGAAGAAGAUCUGACGGUACUUGAUGAAUAAGCCACGGCUAAUUCCGUGCCAGCAGCCGCGGUAAUACGGGAGUGGCAAGCGUUAUCCGGAAUUAUUGGGCGUAAAGCGUCCGCAGGCGGUCUUGUAAGUCUGUCGUUAAAGCGUGGAGCUCAACUCCAUUUCGGCGGUGGAAACUACAAGACUAGAGUGUGGUAGGGGCAGAGGGAAUUCCCGGUGUAGCGGUGAAAUGCAUAGAUAUCGGGAAGAACACCAGUGGCGAAGGCGCUCUGCUGGGCCAUAACUGACGCUCAUGGACGAAAGCUAGGGGAGCGAAAGGGAUUAGAUACCCCUGUAGUCCUGGCCGUAAACGAUGAACACUAGGUGUCGGGGGUAAUCGACCCCCUCGGUGUCGUAGCUAACGCGUUAAGUGUUCCGCCUGGGAGUACGCACGCAAGUGUGAACUUAAGGAAUUGACGG